UUUCCAUUGGUCAAACAGUUACAGAGUCAACUCCAGUUCAAGGAAGAGGAAAUAAAGCCUACCUUUCGAUGUAGGAGUGGCCUGUGCAAACAGCAGGAAAGAAUGAUAGUGGGCACCUACACAGACUAUCUUGUAGAGUGUGUCACUCAUUUGGCUUAGAUUUUGAGUCUAGAGCAGUGUUUCCACAUGUCACUCACUACAAGAUCACCUACAGGUUCCAUCAAACUCUGCCAAUGUUUGCCAGGCGCAGUGGCACACGCCUGUAAAUCCCAGCAU
rnacentral:lncRNA from 10 species